UACGGGGGGGGCAAGCGUUGUUCGGAAUUACUGGGCGUAAAGGGCUCGUAGGUGGCCAACUAAGUCGGACGUGAAAGCCCCCGGCUCAACCGGGGAAUUGCAUCGGAUACAGCCCGGCUUGAGGACGGUUGGGGUGAGUAGAACUCCUGGUGGAGCGGUGAAAUGCGUAGAUAUCAGGAGGAACACCGGUGGCGAAAGCGGCUCACUGGACCGUAACUGACGCUGAGGUGCGAAAGCUAGGGGAGCAAACGGG
rnacentral:rRNA from 1 species